rnacentral:lncRNA from 1 species
CUAUAUAUAUAUAUAUUUGUAGUAUGUACACAUAAUAUCCUGAUGAUAACAUUAACAUUUACACUCGCCCACUACACCUUCCACUGGGGUAUCUUCUUGUGCGGACGUUCAGAAUCCCGGUCAUAUAACCAGGCAGGACUGGUGGGGUUGGGGGUAUCUUGCCCCCCCCUCUAGUUCCAAGGAUCUGUGAUGGUUUCGGUAUCCCAAGGACUGAUUUAUACCGUGUAUCGAUGAGACUUCCACAUCAGAUACUGUAUAUGUGAAUAUAAGAUCAGUUUCGCAGAUCUUGUACCAUUGCAAAACUGUGACCACAGACAGCAUCAUGUGUAUCAACUAGUUUAACUGGAAAAUGUUUUUCUUUUUUCCCUUCCUCUCAUUAUUUUGUCAGAAUUUCAAUGAUAUUAAAUUUCAUUGACACGUUACCAUGGGGUUGAUGAAAAAAGGGAGGGGUGUGCCAGCCAUGCCACACGGUUAUAAUUAAUGGGUCUUGCACAUUUACUAUUUGGAUGGGAGAGUUACACCUUUAAUGAAUUAUUUAUUUCAUGGACAUUGAUUGAUAGGUGUUGUGAAGAUCAUGUCCUUUUUGAGGUUAACUUGUUUGAUAGGGUUGGCUUCUUAAUAUAACCUAGCUGUGGUUGUUAAAAAGAUACAACUUGAAUGAGCGAGGUUUGAAGAGCACAGGAAAGGUUAAUACAUGGAGGAAAAUCGUGCACUUGGUGGUGGGUGUGGCAUUGACUGGGUGGCAGGGCGUCAUUCUUUGGGCAGGGCUCUCAUUUCUCUGGAUGUCGUGUGACAUAUAUAUAUAUAUAUAUAUAUAUACACACACGGAUUCAUCCUCCAUUACCCUGACUCACCCUAAUUCAGCCUAACACAACCUGCACCUCUUUCUUUCUCCCCCCUCCCCCCAUCGCAGGUUGUUCUGAACUUAUUGCAGCAUCAUGAAUCCAGACAAGAAAUGCGGUACAAGUAAGCCUCCAUGUGAUGGAAAUUAUCCUCCUCAACCAGUGGGAUUUUGUGGUACUGCUGAAUGGAUGAAUAGGCAGAAGGAAAAAAAGGAAAGGAAGAAGCAGAAGAAGGCAUUGAAAAAGUUGAGGAAGGAAAAGAACAAGAAGCUUGAAGAGUGUGACAAUGGCCUGACUGCCAAAGAAAAUGAAUUCUUCAACAGGACGAAAUUGGAAAUAAAGAUUUUGAAAACCAAGAUGAAGCAAGCCAAGAGAAGGAACAAGGGGGGAUCCGGCGAUGGCACAUGUGGCCUGACACCUGUCGAGAUGGAGGAGUUAACGAAGAAGAAGUCUCAAUUGAAACCUUUGAAGGAGAAGAAGAAACUUCACAAGAAAAACAAGGAGGGGCCCAGCUCGGAUGAUUCCGACACUGGCCUGACCCAAGAAGAGUAUAUAUGCUGGAAAACGUCAAAGACUGAAAAGAAACUUUUGAAGAAGAAAGCAAAAAAGAGAGCAACCGACGGUACUGCUGUUGGCUUGACAUGCACUGAAAAGGAAUGUCUCGUGGAACUGGAGAAUAAAUUGAAGGUGUUGAAGAAAAAGAAAAAAGCCUUCAAGAAAAAAAACAAGCCUGCUUCGGAUUCCGAUUCCGACUCUGACGUUGGACUGAAUGCUGAGGAGUUUCAAUGCUGGAAGACAAAUAAGUGCCAAAUUAAGUGCUUGAAGAAGAAGAAGAAGCAAGCCAAAAAGGCUCAUAAAAGGGCUACCAAGGAUGCUCCAUGUGCUGGCGUCGUUGAUUUCCUGACACCCAAGGAAAUGGAAGAGAUGAAGAAUCUGAAGGCAAAGAUGAAGGCACUGAAGCAAAAGAAGAGAGAAUACAAGAAAAAGAAUAAUAUUGAGGUUUCUUCAAGUUCAAGUGACUCUGAUGAAAAUCUGACACCGGAGCAAAAGCAAUAUAAAAAGCAGAUGAAGGAGCAAGGAAAGAUGUGCAAGAAAAUGAUGAAACAGCAAAAGAAGGCUGAGAAAGGCAAAAACAAGAAGCCUGGAGAUCCCGAGUUGAGUGAUUCCUCUGAUUCAUCCUCCAGCUCUUCAAGUUCUUCCUCCUCUUCCUCCAGUGAUAAUGAGUGCGGUGCAUGUCCCACCAAAUCCAAACCACCAUGUCCCCAAAUGCAGCAAAAGUGUCCUGGGUUGCCAAAAUAGUGAUGGAGUUUUCCAAAGGGUCACACUGGCCAUUAGGUCUCGUGACCAACACACGGCCUAUUUUUGCUUUUUCAUUCAGCUUCUAAUUAGUUAGCCUUGGCUAAAAUGGGUCAGUUUUGCAACAAAAAAUAUUUUACCUUGCUUUUCUUACAGGAACAUUCAUUUUAAUCACCAAAAACAAUCAUUAACUUUCUCAAUGCUGGUGAGUUUCUGUUUUAACGAUUUUUUUUUACCUCUCUCAUAAGAUGAGUUGAAACCCUUGAAAGGCUGAGUUUGGAAGUUGAAAGAAUAAUGUUGUACUGCUUGAUCCAACAGACUUGUGUUUUAAAAACUCCAGUUAUAAAAUGCUGAAAGAUACAAGAAACUUUUUUUUCUGAAAGACAUGUUCAGAAGUUUGCCGUUUUGACCACGGAGUGGUCUUUAACUGAGACGAAGCAGGACAUAUUGUAGCCAAACUCUGACUAUACCCCUUGAGAGAGGCUGAGGUGUGGGGGGGGGGGAUCCAAUGUCAAAAGAAGGAAGGGGUAGGAAAGAGGAACAUGAGAAAGGAGAAAAGGAAGAAGAGUUGGGUUGAAAGGAAUGAACGGGGCAGCUGAAACCAGAUACACUCACCCCACUCUCUUUUCUCCUUCACUCCUAUCAACUACUCCAAUUUCCCCCCACUGCCACUUUCCUCAACCUUCCCCCUUCACUCUCUUCUUCAUUCAUCCACCAUUUCCCUCCCCUUUCUCACAAUCCUUUGGUCUGCCACCAGCUCAGCGUACCUGUCCUGCUACGUCCCAGUUGAAGUGCACUUUGUGUUCAAUACACUGAAGCUCUGAGACUUUACUGUCCAAAAAAAAAAAUUCGUUAUUUGGUGAUAUUUUGUUUUCAUUGUUUUGUAAUCUCUGCACCUUUGAAAUGUGAUCUAAACUACACUUCGUUUGUCCUUUGUCAUGCAAUCAUGAUUUAUUGUGGUGGAUUAUUCAGGAUUAUAUGGGAAUUUUUUCUGUAUCCGAGGGAAUGGUGAAAUAAACGAUUAAAACUUUAUUGCAGCAUCUUAUUCAAACAAAUAAAUUCUUAUCGAACUUUGUUUCUUAUUUGGAUACUUCAGUUACAAGGUAAAUGGAAGAGCUAGUUGACAAAGGGUAAAAUAUAAUGUACUGAUAGGACAGUGUGGCAACAGUCAGACAUGAUGAGGAAAGACAAUAACUGGCAAGUAAGAGGGUUAGGCUCUGAUUUUGAUGGAACAUACUCUGUCACAGAGCAUUGGUGCUGUUAAAGUAGUUUAUUGGCAAUAGUUAUACUAGGU